AGUUACAAGAAGACCUCCUAACUUGUUGUAACAAAUAUCCUAAACUUUUCUUUUUCAUAAUAAUCUCCCUAUUAAGUCACCCCAUUGGGUGGCUUUUUUU
rnacentral:sRNA from 1 species